rnacentral:rRNA from 1 species
GUCUAUAGCCAUGCUACCCUGAACAAGCCCAAUCCCAUCUGAUCUUGGAAGCUAAGCAGGGUCGGGCCUGGUUAGUACUUGGAUGGGAGACCGCCUAGGAAGACCGGGUGCUAUAGGCA